rnacentral:lncRNA from 1 species
CUCUUGUUUAUCAUUCAACUGAAUUAAACAACGUAAAUCUCAUUUUGUAAUUUGGAUACCUAUGUUGUUGAUCCCAAUUAACUAUCUAAUAGGAUCACAUCUUUUCAACAACCAAUCCAAAAGGAUUCAAUGGAGAUUAAUUGCUUUCAUAUAUAAUAUACAAUCAAAUCCUAUCUCUUUUAUUGUAUCACUCUAUGCACC